rnacentral:rRNA from 2 species
AGCUAACGCGUUAAAUCGACCGCCUGGGGAGUACGGCCGCAAGGUUAAAACUCAAAUGAAUUGACGGGGGCCCGCACAAGCGGUGGAGCAUGUGGUUUAAUUCGAUGCAACGCGAAGAACCUUACCUGGUCUUGACAUCCACAGAACUUUCCAGAGAUGGAUUGGUGCCUUCGGGAACUGUGAGACAGGUGCUGCAUGGCUGUCGUCAGCUCGUGUUGUGAAAUGUUGGGUUAAGUCCCGCAACGAGCGCAACCCUUAUCCUUUGUUGCCAGCGGUUAGGCCGGGAACUCAAAGGAGACUGCCAGUGAUAAACUGGAGGAAGGUGGGGAUGACGUCAAGUCAUCAUGGCCCUUACGACCAGGGCUACACACGUGCUACAAUGGCGCAUACAAAGAGAAGCGACCUCGCGAGAGCAAGCGGACCUCAUAAAGUGCGUCGUAGUCCGGAUUGGAGUCUGCAACUCGACUCCAUGAAGUCGGAAUCGCUAGUAAUCGUAGAUCAGAAUGCUACGGUGAAUACGUUCCCGGGCCUUGUACACACCGCCCGUCACACCAUGGGAGUGGGUUGCAAAAGAAGUAGGUAGCUUAACCUUCGGGAGGGCGCUUACCACUUUGUGAUUCAUGAC